UUAAACACAGUGUUUUUAUUGAAUUCCGUUAACUUCGGGGGAUAAAAAAAAUAUUACCUCCGAAAUGGAGUUAAUUAGAAUAUCGGUGUCUUUGAGAAAGUUACUAGAUUUAAGCUCAGGAAUGCAUCCUUGAAAUUAACGGAAAUAAAAAAAAAUACGGUAUAUA